rnacentral:rRNA from 1 species
AUGGAGAAGGGGCAGGACAUAGCGGCAUCCGGCGGUGAGAAAGGUUCAGAGCAGCACGCCAUUGAUGUAGUUCCCGUAGAGGUGGAGCAUGGAGACGGCAAGGGCGUCGUCCACGCCGGAGCCGGAGAUGACACCGAGAAGGAGAGACUGGUCGUUGUUGAGGAGCCCCAGAAGAAGAAGAGCACGAGGGUGGCGGCUCUCGAUGCCUUCAGAGGGCUCACCAUUGUGCUGAUGGUACUGGUGGACGAUGCCGGCGGGGCUUACCAGCGGAUGGACCACUCGCCGUGGAACGGUUGCACUCUGGCAGACUUUGUCAUGCCCUUCUUCCUCUUCAUCGUCGGUGUUGCGAUCGCCUUUGCCAUGAAGAGGGUUCCAAACAUGGGUGCCGCUGUGAAGAAGGUCAGCGUCAGAACACUGAAAAUGCUUUUCUGGGGCCUGCUACUGCAAGGUGGAUACUCUCACGCUCCGGACGACCUUGCUUAUGGAGUGGACAUGAAGGUGAUAAGAUGGUGUGGCAUCCUCCAGAGGAUAGCUUUGGUGUACUUCGUGGUUGCCCUCAUAGAGGUGUUCACCAUAAAGGUGCGGCCUGUCACCGUCCGUUCCGGUCCUUACGCCAUCUUCCAUGCCUACCGGUGGCAAUGGUUAGGCGGUUUCAUCGUGUUCGUCGUAUACAUGGUCACGACGUUCUCGCUGUAUGUUCCAGAUUGGAGCUAUGUGUACCAUUCGGAUGGCGAUGUCAAUGAUGGGAAGCGGUUUACGGUACAAUGUGGUGUAAGGGGUCACCUGGAUCCGGCUUGCAAUGCAGUGGGUCAUGUUGAUAGGGUGGUCUGGGGGAUUAAUCAUCUCUACUCGCAGCCCGUUUGGAUCCGGACUAAGGAUUGUACAUUUAGCUCACCAGAAUCAGGUCCUCUCCGUGCCGAUGCUCCAUCAUGGUGUCUUGCGCCAUUCGAACCAGAAGGAUUGUUAAGCUCAAUAUCGUCGAUUCUAUCAGGGACAAUUGGAAUCCACUAUGGCCAUGUUCUAAUCCAUUUCAAGACCCAUAAGGAGAGACUGAAACACUGGCUUUCGAUGGGCAUUUCGCUCCUCUUGCUCGGCAUUCUCCUUCACUUCACAAAAGCCAUUCCAAUCAAUAAGCAACUCUACAGUAUCAGUUACGUUUGCUUCACUGCCGGCGCGGCUGGAAUAGUUCUGUCAGCUUUCUACAUGCUGAUUGAUGUCUGGGGCCUGAGAGUACCAUUCUUGUUCCUCGAGUGGAUCGGCAUGAACGCCAUGCUUGUGUACGUCCUAGCGGCACAAGGCAUAUUUGCAGCAUUUGUGAACGGAUGGUACUAUGAGUCGCAAGAUAAAACCCUUGUUAACUGGAUCCAAAAGCAUGUGUUUGUCAAUGUCUGGCAUUCAGAAAGGCUGGGAACUCUGCUGUACGUCAUAUUUGGAGAGAUCCUCUUCUGGGGUGUUGUCUCUGGCAUCUUGCACAAGCUGGGGAUUUAUUGGAAACUAUGA